rnacentral:rRNA from 1 species
GACGAACGCUGGCGGCGUGCUUAACACAUGCAAGUCGAGCGGUAAGGCCUUUCGGGGUACACGAGCGGCGAACGGGUGAGUAACACGUGGGUGAUCUGCCCUGCACUUCGGGAUAAGCCUGGGAAACUGGGUCUAAUACCGGAUAUGACCUCCUAUCGCAUGGUGGGUGGUGGAAAGAUUUAUCGGUGCAGGAUGGGCCCGCGGCCUAUCAGCUUGUUGGUGGGGUAAUGGCCUACCAAGGCGACGACGGGUAGCCGACCUGAGAGGGUGACCGGCCACACUGGGACUGAGACACGGCCCAGACUCCUACGGGAGGCAGCAGUGGGGAAUAUUGCACAAUGGGCGAAAGCCUGAUGCAGCGACGCCGCGUGAGGGAUGACGGCCUUCGGGUUGUAAACCUCUUUCAGCAGGGACGAAGCGCAAGUGACGGUACCUGCAGAAGAAGCACCGGCUAACUACGUGCCAGCAGCCGCGGUAAUACGUAGGGUGCAAGCGUUGUCCGGAAUUACUGGGCGUAAAGAGUUCGUAGGCGGUUUGUCGCGUCGUUUGUGAAAACCAGCAGCUCAACUGCUGGCUUGCAGGCGAUACGGGCAGACUUGAGUACUGCAGGGGAGACUGGAAUUCCUGGUGUAGCGGUGAAAUGCGCAGAUAUCAGGAGGAACACCGGUGGCGAAGGCGGGUCUCUGGGCAGUAACUGACGCUGAGGAACGAAAGCGUGGGUAGCGAACAGGAUUAGAUACCCUGGUAGUCCACGCCGUAAACGGUGGGCGCUAGGUGUGGGUUCCUUCCACGGAAUCCGUGCCGUAGCUAACGCAUUAAGCGCCCCGCCUGGGGAGUACGGCCGCAAGGCUA